rnacentral:rRNA from 3 species
UAAAUGACUCUCGGCAACGGAUAUCUCGGCUCUUGCAUCGAUGAAGAACGUAGCGAAAUGCGAUACUUGGUGUGAAUUGCAGAAUCCCGUGAACCAUCGAGUCUUUGAACGCAAGUUGCGCCUGAAGCCAUUAGGCUGAAGGCACGUCUGCCUGGGCGUCACGC